AUAACUGAAAUAAACAUAGCGUACAAUAAGUCACAAAAGUGACUUCCCUUUCAUCAUUUAGUCAAAACUGAUAAUAAAACAUUACUAGAAAGUAAAAAAAAAAAUUAAUCGUUAACAAUUAACUUUAAAACAUGAUUCUCGAACAAAAGAACGGAAUACUCUACGGCUAUUAUCCAUACCAUGAACGUUAUGUAUUGAAUCCACAACAGCAAUCGGCAAAUUAAGAAUUCUCCGUACGAGGUUUCGGCAUUUCCCGCUUUUGUUCGGAGUUAUGGUGUCACCCCGGUAUAGAAGUACUUCCGGGUCGUUGUAUCCUAGAAAGUAGUUCUUUGAAAUUUUGAAGUUCCCAAUUUAACGCUAUCCCUACUUUGACAUGUUAUAUUCCAAAUGUAUUUAUUGAUACUGUGUACAUUUUUUGUCAUUUCUGAUGUCUUUAACAGUUGUUCUAUGUGUGUUUUUCAGGAUUACAUUUCUGUGCGGAAGGAUUAAAAAACUACACCAGACUGGUGGCCAUGACAGAUGUCAGUGGGAAAUUUAAACAUGGACUAGAUACUUUGAUGUGUAGCAAAAAAGUUCAUCGUUGAUGGUGGUGUUUUUCUGUGAUAUAUUGACUGGGAUAGUAUUACUCUUCAGAAAUACAGAGCUGUCAAUGCUGCAAUUUUGUUGUGAAAUUCACAAUCCAUGUCCAAAAGUGCUUGUUUUACUAUACAGCAAAGAAGGAGAAAUUGUACCGGGCCGACACCUAUAUGGCAAAUUCAGAAAGUGGAAUAUCUCAGCAACCAUAGGGUUUACAGUCAUGAAACUUCACACACUAGUAGCUGAUAACAAUACAAAUCAGUGGCUAAAAGGAUAUUUCCAAGGCGAUGAAUUCCAUAUGUCAGAAGGAAAUUUAGAAUCGUACAACUAGUCAGCAGCUACCAUAAACCAGACCAACCUAUUAAGUCGAGCGGGCAGAAGCUGUGAUUCCCAGUGUAACACCGCAGAAUGACGGAUUACAUUUCUGUGCGGAAGGAUUAAAAAACUACACCAGACUGGUGGCCAUGACAGAUGUCAGUGGGAAAUUUAAACAUGGACUAGAUACUUUGAUGUGUAGCAAAAAAAGUUCAUCGUUGAUGGUGGUGUUUUUCUGUGAUAUAUUGACUGGGAUAGUAUUACUCUUCAGAAAUACAGAGCUGUCAAUGCUGCAAUUUUGUUGUGAAAUUCACAAUCCAUGUCCAAAAGUGCUUGUUUUACUAUACAGCAAAGAAGGAGAAAUUGUACCGGGCCGACACCUUAUGUCCGAAGAAUGCCGAAUUAUCAAACGAGAAUAUGUAAUCACACGGAAAUUGCCGAGUGUUAUUACGGGUCCAUUACCUUAAUACAAAGAAAUGAUACUUUGCAAGUUAAGAAUGUAACAAAAGAAAAUUAAGUUUCAAAAAAAAAAGAUUGUUACCUUUGAA